rnacentral:rRNA from 1 species
UACGUAGGGUGCAAGCGUUGUCCGGAAUUAUUGGGCGUAAAGAGCUCGUAGGCGGUUUGUCGCGUCGAAUGUGAAAACCCGGGGCUCAACCCCGGGCCUGCAUUCGAUACGGGCAGACUAGAGUUCGGUAGGGGAGUCUGGAAUUCCUGGUGUAGCGGUGAAAUGCGCAGAUAUCAGGAGGAACACCAACGGCGAAGGCAGCACUCUGGGCCGGUACUGACGCUGAGGAGCGAAAGCGUGGGGAGCAAACAGG